GUCUCGGUAGCUCAGUGGUAGAGCGUGGGAUUGCAGCUUCAAUUAGCCAUUAUCCUAAGGUCCUGUGUUCGAACCACAGUCGGGACU